UGGGGAAUAUUGCACAAUGGAGGGAACUCUGAUGCAGCGACGCCGCGUGAACGAAGAAGGCUUUCGAGUCGUAAAGUUCUUUUAUAUGGGAAGAUAAUGACGGUACCAUAAGAAAAAGCCCCGGCUAACUACGUGCCAGCAGCCGCGUUAAUACGUAGGGGGCUAGCGUUGUCCGGAAUCACUGGGCGUAAAGGGUUCGCAGGCGGAAAUGCAAGUCAGGUGUAAAAGGCAGUAGCUUAACUACUGUAAGCAUUUGAAACUGCAUAUCUUGAGAAGAGUAGAGGUAAGUGGAAUUUUUAGUGUAGCGGUGAAAUGCGUAGAUAUUAAAAAGAAUACCGGUGGCGAAGGCGGCUUACUGGGCUCAUUCUGACGCUGAGGAACGAAAGCGUGGGUAGCAAACAGG
rnacentral:rRNA from 1 species